ensembl:lncRNA
AUUUUUAUUAUUAUUAUUAGGGGUUCGAGCACGAAGUGCUGAAACCCUAUUGUAAUUGUUAGGAUUUUUAUUAUUAUUAUUAUUAUUAUUAUUAUUAUUAUUAUUAUUAUUAUUAUUAUUCUUCCGCCUUAAAACUGAACGGGCAGCCCAAACCGUAAGGCCUAGAGAGCUGAAACUUGGUCAAAAGGUAGUAGUCUUGCUCGCUACUCAGGCGCAAAGAACUGGCCCAAUCGGCCUAACGGGGGCGCUACAGCGCAAAAAACUAAAUUUUCAGACAUUUUUGGCCGUAGCUUGUAAACCGUUUGUCGUAGACUCAAAAACAUGGCAUCGUUGCAAUCCUUGGGUUAGCCCGAACAAAAUUGCUCUGCUGGUUUUUUCGCUCUACGGCGCAUCGUUUCCUCGCAAAAUUGAGUUAUAUCUGAAACCUACUUUUGCGAACUAGUCCUAGGUUUUUCACCCGAUCAGAACCAAACCACUGCAGAAAUAUUCUCUGGACACUCAAUAUCAAUAAUUAUCGAAAAAAAGUUGAAAUUUCGAUUCUUACGCGAAACAGUACACCAAGAAGCGUCUAUGCUAACGUUAGCCAAAUGUUAUUUUAGCUAUAACUCUUGAACGGAAUGACAUAUCUUCAUCAAACUCGGGACAAAUGUGUAUAAGCUCAAUCUUUGGUCAAAUAAAAAAAAAUGCGCACCUCUACCACUUGGGGGCGCUAUAAGACAGAAAAAACACAUAAAUGGCUAUAACUAUUCAACCAUUAGUCCGAUCGACUUGAAAAUUGGAAUGCAGUUUCUUUGUCUGAAGGGGCACAAUCGUCUAUGAGGACAUUCGCGUAUCUCAAAAAACAUGGCCGCCAUUGGCCAAUUAAUUUUAAGCAACUAUUAGACAAGGUUAACGGAGGUCAAUCGGAACGAAACUUGGUGGGCAUGUUCGACUCAUGGCCCUAAAGGUCUGUAAGAAUUUUGAAAGAAAUCGGCCACUAGUUGGCGCUAACGAGUUUUUUGGCUCUGUAAUCACAUGGUGUUUCACAUAUCCACGAAAUAUGGACAUCAUUUGAUAGAUCUCCUCAUAAUGCACAACUUUGCCUCAAGAACCAUUACUGUCAAUCAAAUUGUUCAUUAAUUAUUCACAAAUAUGUUAAAAACAUACUUUUGCGAACUAGUCCUAGGUUUUUCGCCCGAUCGGAACCAAACCACUGCUGUAAUAUUCUGUGGACUGUCUAGAUCCAUAAUUAUCGAAAAAAUGUUGAAUUUUGUCCUUUGCUUAGCUUUAUAGGGGUGAUUUAGAAAAUGGGAGUGGCCCAACAUACCCCAAAUCUUAUAAAACCAAAACAAAUAGUCAAAACUUUAUGAAACUUGGUGAAAACAUGUGGCAGAUGACUCUUAACAAGUAUGCAAAGUUUUAUGGAGAUUGGUCUAUAGGUGGCGCUAUAACAGUUGAAAAAGCCUCAAAAACACAAAAUUUUAAUAGACAAUGACCACCAUUUGUAGAACAUGUUCAUACAUUCACACAAACACUAGACCUUCAGAUCAUAUGAUAGAUCUCCUCAUUGCGAACAACUUUGCCUCUGGGGGUGAAGCUGUCAAUCAAAUCGUUCAUUAAACAUUCACAAAUAUGUCAAAAACAUACUUUUGUGAACUUGUCCUAGGUUUUUCGCCCGAUCGGAACCAAACCACUGCAGUAAUAUUCUUUGGACUCACUAGAUCAAUAAUUAUCGAAAAAAUGUUGAAUUUUGUCCUUUGGUUAGCUAUAAGGGCUCAUUUAGAAAAGGGGUGUGGCCACAUGUAACCAAAAGCCUAUAAAACCUAAACAAAAACUCAAAACUUUAAGAAACUUAGUGUGAACAUAUGUCAGAUGACUCUUAAGUAGCAUGCAAAGUUUCAUGGGGAUCGGACUAUAUGUGGUGCUAUAACUGUCCAUAAGGCUUCAAAAACACAUUAUAUCUGUUCUAAAUGGCUUCAGACUGCUAAAAAAACCCUCAUAUUUUCGCACAUACAUUAGAUUUGCAUUCAUUCUAAACAAGCAUGCACAUUUUUAGAGAGACUGGGCAAAAAAAUAACACUAAAAUAGUGAUAAAGCUUAAAAACACAGUGUUGUAUGAGAAAUUGCAUUCAUAACCACUAGAUGGCAGCGGAAGACCACUAAUGGGCUGAUUAAAUGAACAAAAACAGUACUUUUCAUUUGUUUGCUUGUACACAUUUUAAAAUCACUGCAAUAACAUUUAAAAUCGCAUUGAAUCAAAGUUUAGCAUUUUGUUCAAAUAUAAGUUUUUACAAUUAUGCCAGAUUAUGAUUACAAUGAAACCUGCCAAUGACAUACAAACUUGAAAAGAGAAGACUGUCUCUGUAUGUGUGUGUGUGUGUGUGUGUGUGUGUGUGUGUAGAAAUGCUUAAUGAUUAUUAAUAUAAUAGUUUAACCAUUUCAUUUCUGUGUGUGUGUAUGUGUGAGCCUAUUCUCCAGUUUAGAUGUGUUCUACUGUCAGACAUACAUCCAGGUUGGCCGAGACCUUAAAACCAUAACACCUUUUAAGCCCUGGUAAAAGCUCGAACCCCGGUAAUCGCUGCUUGCAGCUUUAAUUAGGGGUUCAAGCACGCAGUGCUGAAACCCUAUUGUAAUUGUUAGGAUUUUUAUUAUUAUUAUUAUUAUUAUUAUUAUUCUUC